AUUGAACGCUGGCGGCAGGCCUAACACAUGCAAGUCGGACGGUAGCACAGAGGAGCUUGCUCCUCGGGUGACGAGUGGCGGACGGGUGAGUAAUGUCUGGGGAUCUGCCCGAUAGAGGGGGAUAACCACUGGAAACGGUGGCUAAUACCGCAUAACGUCGCAAGACCAAAGAGGGGGACCUUCGGGCCUCUCACUAUCGGAUGAACCCGGAUGGGAUUAGCUAGUAGGCGGGGUAAUGGCCCGCCUAGGCGACGAUCCCUAGCUGGUCUGAGAGGAUGACCAGCCACACUGGAACUGAGACACGGUCCAGACUCCUACGGGAGGCAGCAGUGGGGAAUAUUGCACAAUGGGCGCAAGCCUGAUGCAGCCAUGCCGCGUGUAUGAAGAAGGCCUUCGGGUUGUAAAGUACUUUCAGCGGGGAGGAAGGCGGCGCGGUUAAUAACCGCGCCGAUUGACGUUACCCGCAGAAGAAGCACCGGCUAACUCCGUGCCAGCCGCCGCUGUAAUAC
rnacentral:rRNA from 1 species